rnacentral:snoRNA from 1 species
UCGUAAAUGACGAAAAACCAUCCUUGCUCUGCGAGUCGUAUGACAAAGUGUUCGAUCAAAAUUAGGAAGUAUUCUAGCAUCGGGUUGGGUGCGGUCUAAUUUUAGAAAGAGCAUAGUCAUUUGACGGUGAACAGCUAUGGCCUCUGAUACGA